AGAGUUUGAUCCUGGCUCAGGAUGAACGCUGGCGGCGUGCCUAACACAUGCAAGUUGAGCGAUUUACUUCGGUAAAGAGCGGCGGACGGGUGAGUAACGCGUGGGUAACCUACCCUGUACACACGGAUAACAUACCGAAAGGUAUGCUAAUACGGGAUAAUAUAUUUGAGAGGCAUCUCUUAAUAUCAAAGGUGAGCCAGUACAGGAUGGACCCGCGUCUGAUUAGCUAGUUGGUAAGGUAACGGCUUACCAAGGCGACGAUCAGUAGCCGACCUGAGAGGGUGAUCGGCCACAUUGGAACUGAGACACGGUCCAAACUCCUACGGGAGGCAGCAGUGGGGAAUAUUGCACAAUGGGCGAAAGCCUGAUGCAGCAACGCCGCGUGAGUGAUGAAGGCCUUCGGGUCGUAAAACUCUGUCCUCAAGGAAGAUAAUGACGGUACUUGAGGAGGAAGCCCCGGCUAACUACGUGCCAGCAGCCGCGGUAAUACGUAGGGGGCUAGCGUUAUCCGGAUUUACUGGGCGUAAAGGGUGCGUAGGCGGUCUUUCAAGUCAGGAGUGAAAGGCUACGGCUCAACCGUAGUAAGCUCUUGAAACUGGGAGACUUGAGUGCAGGAGAGGAGAGUGGAAUUCCUAGUGUAGCGGUGAAAUGCGUAGAUAUUAGGAGGAACACCAGUUGCGAAGGCGGCUCUCUGGACUGUAACUGACGCUGAGGCACGAAAGCGUGGGGAGCAAACAGGAUUAGAUACCCUGGUAGUCCACGCUGUAAACGAUGAGUAC
rnacentral:rRNA from 1 species